ACGAACGCUGGCGGCGUGCCUAAUACAUGCAAGUAGCACGCUGAAGGAGGAGCUUGCUUCUCUGGAUGAGUUGCGAACGGGUGAGUAACGCGUAGGUAACCUGCCUGGUAGCGGGGGAUAACUAUUGGAAACGAUAGCUAAUACCGCAUAAGAGUAGAUGUUGCAUGACAUUUGCUUAAAAGGUGCAAUUGCAUCACUACCAGAUGGACCUGCGUUGUAUUAGCUAGUUGGUGGGGUAACGGCUUACCAAGGCGACGAUACAUAGCCGACCUGAGAGGGUGAUCGGCCACACUGGGACUGAGACACGGCCCAGACUCCUACGGGAGGCAGCAGUAGGGAAUCUUCGGCAAUGGACGGAAGUCUGACCGAGCAACGCCGCGUGAGUGAAGAAGGUUUUCGGAUCGUAAAGCUCUGUUGUAAGAGAAGAACGAGUGUGAGAGUGGAAAGUUCACACUGUGACGGUAUCUUACCAGAAAGGGACGGCUAACUACGUG
rnacentral:rRNA from 1 species